GCCUUUCGAAAGGAAGAUUAAGUACCGCAUAAGAUUGUAGUAUCGCAUGAUAUAGCAAUUAAAGGAGCAAUUCGCUAUAAGAUGGACCCGCGUCGCAUUAGCUAGUUGGUGAGGUAAUGGCUCACCAAGGCGACGAUGCGUAGCCGACCUGAGAGGGUGAUCGGCCACAUUGGGACUGAGACACGGCCCAGACUCCUACGGGAGGCAGCAUG
rnacentral:rRNA from 1 species